UACGGCGGGGGCUAGCGUUGUUCGGAAUUACUGGGCGUAAAGAGCACGUAGGCGGCGGUGCAAGUUGGGGGUGAAAUCCCAGGGCUCAACCCUGGAAUUGCCUCCAAAACUGUGCUGCUUGAGUUCGGAAGAGGAGAGUGGAAUUCCCAGUGUAGAGGUGAAAGUCGUAGAUAUUGGGAAGAACACCGGUGGCGAAGGCGGCGCACUGGCGCAUUACUGACGCUCAGGCGCGACAGCGUGGGGAUCAAACAGG
rnacentral:rRNA from 1 species